AUAUAUAUAUAUAUAUAUAUAUAUAUAUAUGGAGAGAGAGCAUAAAGGAAGGGUCACGGAUUGCAGAUGUCAUACACAACAGAAGCAGAAAGAAGGGUGAAAAUGCAACGGCGCCUGGUGAUUAUAUAUGCCCAACCUGCGAUCGCAGCAGUGUAUCAAGGAUUGGCCUCUUUAGUCACACAAGAAGUUGCAAAGGAUUUGAUUUGGUGAUCCCUCUUCAGAAACAUCAGAUCAAAGGAAUGUACAUGCUGCUGAUAUAGAAAAAGUUUCUGACUGCUUACAGAUCAGUGUUCUUAGUUCUGCUAUUGAUUUACUAUUGCAUAAUAAAUAAACAUGUAAUGAUCAAUCACAUUUUUAUACCAAGUUCAUCUAAUGAUUUACACAGCAUAUUAUCAGCAUUCACAGUUCAUCUAAUGAUCUACAUAUGAAGCAGCACCAUGCAGAGCUAACAUCACCUACUGAAGAGAGUUUCCAUCAUGCUUUAGCAACAAUCCAAAAACAAAAUGAAAAAGUGGUUUCUUUGUUUGGGACAAGUCCUGAAAGGCCUUCAGAAUCUGGGAGCACACUAUUGUUAACAAGCAGUGUGUCAUAUGACCAGCACAAUGACCAACAGCUUUUACUUUUCAAACCAAAGUCAGGAUUGUCAGACUUCUGCUAGAUGUUGAUCUUUUCAUCACAACACCAAUAACUUCUUCUUGGAGUCAAGUAACAGUGUAUAUCACCUGAAAAAAGCUAUUUAAAUUCCCUUAAAGAUCACAAAUUAAUGCUGAUGACAUAAAGCACAUUUAUCCACGAAAUCUUAUGAACACAUAAUAUUAUGUUGUACAACUAAAUAGUGGUGUCUGGAAAUUUAGGCAGUGUGUAUGUAGUGUAUAUGCUUAUUUAUUAUUUAUCUGUUUCUUAAACAUAGGCUUAUGUUCCCCGCGCUAUCCAAACUAUAAUUCGGAGUGUGAAACAUAACAGAUUAACAGGUGCUAUAUUAUGUUUCGUUUAACAAAGAUUUUCUUACACUCUACAUAUUCCUCCCCCCCCCCCCCGAGAGGUGGGCCAGGGGUAGUGGUAAGUAUUAUAAUCACGGACUGAGAAGACCUAACUGCGAGCGAGAAAGGGGUUACGUCGUCACUAGAUCUGUGUCAGCUCAAUACAAUUUUUUCUCUUCGUGGUGUAGUCUUAAUCAUAAACAGAUAAAAAUUAAAGUUUUAAGAUACUGUUAAUCUUCUAUAAUAAAAUGCUUAUUUCUUAUAGUAAUACGUUUCCCGUACUAGAUCUUUAUAAUUUAUUGUCAUUGCUCUAUAUAGUAUAGAUCACUUACUCACAAUGCAUACUUUUGUUGAAAAGAAAAAUAAUUAAACAUAUCGUGUAGAUAUAGAUGCGUGUUUCAUUAUGUUCGUGUAUAUUUUUGUUUUAUUUUAUCAAUAUUUCGCUUUGCUUGGUGACUUAAUAGAUAAAAAUAAAUCUAAUUGUUAAUA